UACAGAGGAUGCAAGCGUUAUCCGGAAUGAUUGGGCGUAAAGCGUCUGUAGGUGCUUUUUAAGUCCGCCGUCAAAUCCCAGGGCUCAACUCUGGACAGGCGGUGGAAACUACCAAGCUGGAGUACGGUAGGGGCAGGAGGGAAUUUCCGGGUUGGAGGCGGUGGAAAUGACGUAGAGAUCGGAAAGAACACCAACGGCGAAAGCACUCCGCUGGGCCGACACUGACACUGAGAGACGAAAGCUAGGGGAGCGAAUGGG
rnacentral:rRNA from 1 species